GACGUAGGGCGCGAGCGUUGUCCGGAUUUAUUGGGCGUAAAGAGCUCGUAGGCGGCUUGUUGCGUCGUCCGUGAAAACUUGUGGCUUAACCACAGGCUGGCGGUCGAUACGGGCAGACUGGAGGUAUGCAGGGGAGAACGGAAUUCCUGGUGUAGCGGUGAAAUGCGCAGAUAUCAGGAGGAACACCGGUGGCGAAGGCGGUUCUCUGGGCAUGUCCUGACGCUGAGGAGCGAAAGUGUGGGGAGCGAACAGG
rnacentral:rRNA from 1 species